UACGUAGGGGGCAAGCGUUGUCCGGAUUUAUUGGGCGUAAAGAGCGUGUAGGCGGCUUUACAGGUCCGUUGUGAAAACUCGAGGCUCAACCUCGAGACGUCGAUGGAAACCGUCGGGCUAGAGUCCGGAAGAGGAGAGUGGAAUUCCUGGUGUAGCGGUGAAAUGCGCAGAUAUCAGGAGGAACACCCGUGGCGAAAGCGGCUCUCUGGGACGGUACUGACGCUGAGACGCGAAAGCGUGGGGAGCGAACAGG
rnacentral:rRNA from 1 species